UGACUCUGGUUUCUCUUCAUAACGCAUGUCUUUCGCUUACUAAAGACUUCCGUGGGAGAGGAAACAAACAUGAGUUGAAUAUAUUUUUGGCAGGCUUUGUUGUGGCUGGCUG